GUGCCAGCAGCCGCGGUAAUACGUAGGGUGCAAGCGUUGUCCGGAAUUAUUGGGCGUAAAGAGCUCGUAGGCGGUUUGUCGCGUCUGCUGUGAAAUCCCGAGGCUCAACCUCGGGCUUGCAGUGGGUACGGGCAGACUAGAGUGCGGAUAGGGGAGAUUGGAAUUCCUGGUGUAGCGGUGGAAUGCGCAGAUAUCAGGAGGAACACCGAUGGCGAAGGCAGAUCUCUGGGCCGUAACUGACGCUGAGGAGCGAAAGCGUGGGGAGCGAACAGGAUUAGAUACCCUGGUAGUCC
rnacentral:rRNA from 1 species